rnacentral:rRNA from 1 species
UACGAAGGGGGCUAGCGUUGCUCGGAAUUACUGGGCGUAAAGCGCACGUAGGCGGAUUGUUAAGUCGGGGGUGAAAUCCUGGAGCUCAACUCGGGAACUGCCCUCCAAACUGUUUGGCUUGAGUCCGGGAGAGGUGAGUGGAAUUCCCAGUGUAGAGGUGAAAUUCGUAGAUAUCGGGAGGAACACCGGUGGCGAAGGCGGCGACCUGGGUCGAUACUGACGCUGAUGCGCGAAAGCGUGGGGAGCAAACAGG